CAGGAACAUAGAACAGACUGCAAAAGUCCCUAACUCCAAGUCUAAAGUCUAGAAUUAUCAGUUUUUAUUAAUUCCUAACAAUGGAGCCAGAAGGAGACACUAGGACCUUGGUUUUCCAGCUAUGUUCUGUGUGGCUCCAAGAUUCCUUGGUGAGUGGAGUGGAUCUCAUGGGGAGGAGAAGAAACUGAGCAACUGAGGGAGAAGAAAUGCAGUUCCCAGCUCUAUUGCUCACCUACUGGGCUCAA